UGUCUCGGACAUCCUGGUGUUUUGACUCAGACAUCCCGGUGUUUUGACUGUUUAAGCGCAGUGGGUGUGCCUUCUGUCACCUAGACUCAAGGUACUGCCAGAAGCCUUUGAAUCUCUGAAAGGGAGAUGGUCAGUCUCUCUCUCUCUGUGCUUGUAGAAACAAAAAGCCUGAAGAAAGCCAGUUUAUUUGCACUCAUCAAUUGCUGUGAACAGUCUUUUAAGAAGCUUCUAAGAGAUCUUUUCCAAUUCGUGAACGAGUCACCCUGCAAGAAGGUGUAGUCGUACUUGGAUAAAGAGGAAUCGAUUAACAGCAAUUCCUAGGUGCCAAAUAAGAUUUUAUUCCAUGAACUGCUACCCUGCUGCAUUCUGCAUUGUAAUCGUUGUUUUCCAAGAGUUGCAACUGCUUCAUAAUUUCCCUCAGGAUAGAAGACAAAACAGAAGUGGAAAGCUCUCAUGGUGCUGCAUCCUGAACUUGAUCUUCAUCUCCAGCUUCCACUUUGUUGUAGAUGAACUGUAGAGAGGUCUUCACAGUGGGACGCAAGUAGUUCCUCAAUAUCCUCAACCUCCACAUCUUCAAAUCCAGCUUGCUUUACAAGAUCAACACAAUGUUCUUUGAUUCUUGGGAGCUCUUCUGACAGAUCAAAGCCUUGAAAAUCUUUGAAAAUCUGGGAGAAGCUUUCGCCAAACUCCCUGCAAGCAAUAAUUACUGAUAUCAGCCCAGGCCUCCAUGAUAAUGUCAAUUGCAGUCUUGAUGUU